rnacentral:rRNA from 1 species
GACGAACGCUGGCGGCGCGCUUAACACAUGCAAGUCGAACGGAAAGGCCUGCUUUCCCUUGUGGAUUGCGGGUACUCGAGUGGCGAACGGGUGAGUAACACGUGAGUGAUCUGCCCCCAACUUGGGUAUAAGCCUGGGAAACUGGGUCUAAUUCCCGAUAGGACUGCAGGGUGGUGCCUGUGGUGGAAAACGAUUUUCUAGUGGUUGGGGAUGAGCUCGCGGCCUAUCAGCUUGUUGGUGGGGUAAUGGCCUACCAAGGCGGCGACGGGUAGCCGGCCUGAGAGGGUGGACGGCCACAUUGGGACUGAGAUACGGCCCAGACGCCUACGGGAGGCAGCAGUGGGGAAUAUUGCACAAUGGGCGGAAGCCUGAUGCAGCGACGCCGCGUGGGGGAUGACGGCAUUCGGGUUGUAAACUCCUUUCGACCGCGAGGAAGCCACCUGGUUGGAAGGGUGGUGACGGUAGUGGUAGAAGAAGCACCGGCUAACUACGUG